rnacentral:rRNA from 1 species
CACGUAGGCGGCUCGGCAAAUCAGUCGUGGAAUCCCGACGCUUACCGUCGGAACGGCGGCUGAAAAUACCGGGCUAGAGGGCGUGAGGGGUCACUGGAACUCCCGGUGAAGCGGUGAAAUGCGUAGAUAUCGGGAGGAACGCCGGAGGCGAAAGCGAGUGACUGGCGCGUUCCUGACGCUGAGGUGCGAAAGCUAGGGGAGCAAAACA